rnacentral:misc_RNA from 1 species
GUAGGUGAACCUGCGGAAGGAUCAUUAACACGAACUACAAUUAUCCACUAUUCCAACCAAACGUGAACUUUUCCCCUCCCUAGUGCUUUAUUUGUUUAUUGCAUUAGGCUAAACUGUUGUUCUAUACUUAAUACUAUAGAACCUACACACCCCAUACAAACAAACAAACCUAUGGUCUUGAUUUGAAACUCAUUACCACUUCAUACAUCCGAACAUGACCAGUGGUCCUAGUUGACUCGGUCUGUUCUGUUCUAAUAACGAACUGAAAAGAGAAAUACAACUCUUAACAAUGGAUAUCUUGGUUCUC